CUACGGGGGGCUGCAGUUAGGGAUAUUCAGCAAUGGGGGAAACCCUGACCGAGCAAUGCCGCGUGAAUGAAGAAGUAUUUCGAUAUGUAAAGUUCUGUUGUUAAGGAAGAAAGGUACGAAUAGGAAAUGAUUCGUAAUUGACGGUACUUAACCAGAAAGCCCCUGCUAACUACGUGCCAGCAGCAGCGGUAAUACGUAGGGGGCGAGCGUUAUCCGGAAUUAUUGGGCGUAAAGGGUGCGUAGGCGGCCUGUCAAGUCCGAGUUGAAAGCCCACGGCUUAACCGUGGAGGGUGCUCGGAAACUGAUAGGCUUGAAUCCAGAAGAGGGAAGUGGAAUUCUAUGUGGAGCGGUGGAAUGCGUAGAUAUAUGGAGGAACACCAGUGGCGAAGGCGGCUUGCUGGGCUGGUAUUGACGCUGAUGCACGAAAGCGUGGGGAGCAAACAGGAUUAGAUACCCCCGUAGUC
rnacentral:rRNA from 1 species